UGAGGGAAUAUUUGGGGUCAAUGGACGAAAGUCUGAACCAGCCAUGCCGCGUGAAGGAAUAAGGCCCUAUGGGUCGUAAACUUCUUUUGUAUGUGAGCAAUAAGGUCCACGUGUGGACCGAUGAGAGUAGCAUACGAAUAAGCAUCGGCUAACUCCGUGCCAGCAGCCGCGGUAAUACGGAGGAUGCAAGCGUUAUCCGGAUUCAUUGGGUUUAAAGGGUGCGUAGGCGGCUUGGUAAGUCAGCGGUGAAAUUCCAGUGCUCAACAUUGGCCGUGCCGUUGAUACUGGCGUGCUCGAGUGCGUGCGAGGAAGGCGGAAUGCGUUGUGUAGCGGUGAAAUGCAUAGAUAUGACGCAGAACUCCGAUUGCGAAGGCAGCUUUCCAGCGCGCUACUGACGCUGAGGGCACG
rnacentral:rRNA from 1 species